rnacentral:rRNA from 1 species
GUCUACGGCCAUACCACUCUGAACGCGCCUGAUCUCGUCUGAUCUCAGAAGCUAAGCAGGGUCAGGCCUGGUUAGUACUUGGAUGGGAGAAGUAUGCUUAUCUAGUCC